rnacentral:rRNA from 1 species
CUAUGCGCCUUGCCAGCCCGCUCAGGUGUGCCAGCCGCCGCGGUAAUACGGAGGAUGCGAGCGUUAUCCGGAUUUAUGGGUUUAAAGGGUGCGUAGGCGGUCCGUUAAGUCAGCGGUAAAAUUGCGGGGCUCAACCCCGUCGAGCCGUUGAAACUGGCAGACUUGAGUUGGCGAGAAGUAUGCGGAAUGCGUGGUGUAGCGGUGAAAUGCAUAGAUAUCACGCAGAACCCCGAUUGCGAAGGCAGCCUUCCGGCGCCCUACUGACGCUGAGGCACGAAAGUGCGGGGAUCGAACAGG